rnacentral:rRNA from 1 species
GAUGAACGCUGGCGGCGUGCCUAAUACAUGCAAGUCGAGCGAACGGACGAGAAGCUUGCUUCUCUGAUGUUAGCGGCGGACGGGUGAGUAACACGUGGAUAACCUACCUAUAAGACUGGGAUAACUUCGGGAAACCGUAGCUAAUACCGGAUAAUAUUUUGAACCGCAUGGUUCAAAAGUGAAAGACGGUCGUGCUGUCACUUAUAGAUGGAUCCGCGCUGCAUUAGCUAGUUGGUAAGGUAACGGCUUACCAAGGCAACGAUGCAUAGCCGACCUGAGAGGGUGAUCGGCCACACUGGAACUGAGACACGGUCCAGACUCCUACGGGAGGCAGCAGUAGGGAAUCUUCCGCAAAGGGCGAAAGCCUGACGGAGCAACGCCGCGUGAGUGAUGAAGGUCUUCGGAUCGUAAAACUCUGUUAUUAGGGAAGAACAUAUGUGUAAGUAACUGUGCACAUCUUGACGGUACCUAAUCAGAAAGCCACGGCUAACUACGUG